rfam:Parcubacteria bacterium GW2011_GWA1_47_11 TX77_C0005, whole genome shotgun sequence.
CGGAUCGUAGUGUUAACGGUAGCACGCAGGCUUCGGGUGCCUGUAGUCUGGGUUCGAAUCCCAGCGGUCCGA